UACAGAGGUCUCAAGCGUUGUUCGGAUUCAUUGGGCGUAAAGGGUGCGUAGGCGGCGGGGCAAGUCAGGUGUGAAAUCCCGGAGCUCAACUCCGGAACUGCACUUGAUACUGCCUCGCUAGAGUACUGGAGAGGAGACUGGAAUUUACGGUGUGGCAGUGAAAUGCGUAGAGAUCGUAAGGAAGACCAGUGGCGAAGGCGAGUCUCUGGACAGUUACUGACGCUGAGGCACGAAGGCCAGGGGAGCAAACGGG
rnacentral:rRNA from 1 species